UACGUAGGGAGCAAGCGUUGUCCGGAAUCAUUAGGCGUAAAGCGCGCGUAGGUGGCCUCGUAAGUCCGCUGUGAAAGUCCAAGGCUCAACCUUGGAAAGCCGGUGGAUACUGUGAGGCUAGAGUACGGAAGAGGCGAGUGGAAUUCCUGGUGUAGCGGUGGAAUGCGCAGAUAUCAGGAAGAACACCCGUGGCGAAGGCGGUUCUCUGGGACGGUACUGACGCUGAGACGCGAAAGCGUGGGGAGCGAACAGG
rnacentral:rRNA from 1 species